rnacentral:rRNA from 1 species
UGGUGGAGUGAUUUGUCUGCUUAAUUGCGAUAACGAACGAGACUUUGACCCUUAAAUAGCCCGGUUAGCUUUGGCUGAUCGCUGGCUUCUUAAGGGGACUAUUAACUUAAGUUAAUUGAGGUGCAAGGCAAUAACA